AUUGAACGCUGGCGGUAUGCUUAACACAUGCAAGUCGAACGAUGAGAAAGAGCUUGCUCUUUCGAUUAGUGGCGGACGGGUGCGUAACGCGUAGGAAUCUACCUAUUAGUGGGGGACAACUUAGGGAAACUUAAGCUAAUACCGCAUACGCCCUACGGGGGAAAGAAGGGGAUCGCAAGACCUUUUGCUAAUAGAUGAGCCUGCGUAGGAUUAGCUAGUUGGUGGGGUAAAAGCCCACCAAGGCGACGAUCCUUAACUGGUUUGAGAGAAUGAUCAGUCACACUGGAACUGAGACACGGGCCAGACUCCUACGGGAGGCAGCAGUGGGGAAUAUUGGACAAUGGGCGAAAGCCUGAUCCAGCAAUACCGCGUGUGUGAAGAAGGCCUUAGGGUUGUAAAGCACUUUCAAUUGGAAGGAAAACCUCGAAGCUAAUACCUUCGAGUUUGACAUUACCUUUAGAAGAAGCACCGGCUAACUCCGUGCCAGCCGCCGCAGUAACAC
rnacentral:rRNA from 1 species